AUUCCAGCUCCAAUAGCGUAUACUAAAGUUGUUGCAGUUAAAAAGCUCGUAGUUGAAUUUCUGGUCUUGGACAGCGGUCUGCCUCAAACGAGGUACGCACCAUCUAUCCGAGUCCAUCCUCGGGGAAAACAUGUCUGUGAUUCAGUUCAUGGGCAUGGGAUCCUCGUCAUUUACUGUGAGCAAAAUAGAGUGUUCAAAGCAGGCUUAUGCCGUUGAAUAUUUUAGCAUGGAAUAAUAAGAUAAGACCUUGGUCUAUUUUGUUGGUUUGUACUCCAAGGUAAUGAUUAAUAGGGACAGUUGGAGGUAUUCGUAUUCAAUUGUCAGAGGUGAAAUUCUUGGAUUUAUUGAAGACGAACUACUGCGAAAGCAUUUACCAAGGAUGUUUUCAUCG
rnacentral:rRNA from 1 species